CCCCGUGCAUCUGCUGCCUGGCACAUCUGCUACCCCGUGCACCUGCUACCCCCCGCACACACAUACCUGCUACCCCACCUGCAAGGCUACAGACAUUCCACUGAUCUCUUGCUCUUCCCUGCUCCCUCCACAGAGAUGUGCAGAAGAACCAGGUCUGUCUCUGCCCUCCGCCUUCCGUCUUCUUGGCCCAAGGCAGCUCUGCACCAUCAGAGAGAACCCUUCUGCUGAUAAAUCUCUGUGUGGGAAAUUGUCCCCAGCCUUAGGCAGAGCCAUGACCCCGGCCCCAGGUCUAAACUCAGAACUGCUGCCUGGUUGGCACACAUCCAGGACUAUGGUAUUUUCCAUAUUCUGAAAACAGCCCCAAGGUCAGUGAGCCAGUGGGUGGAAGGAGCACUGGGAGCUGCAGGAUGAGCACGGAGAGCCUGUGCAUCUCAUCUGCAGGCCUCCCCAGCCCCAUGCCCCCGUCCUCCCUCCGAGUGCUUGGCCCCCGGCCUCUGUCUUCCCGAUGUCAGCACCAUGGGCUCAGCCACCGGGGACAAGCCCCAGACAGGAAAGCUCUGUGUGGUCCCCAUGAGGCUCCGGGGUGGAGGGGACCCUCCCAAGCAUACAAGUAGCCAACCUAUUGGAUGAUCUCGAAGUUCCUGACUGCCUCGACCCACUCAGGUCCUCACCUGGGCAAAGCCAGGGAUUGGGCUUCACGGUGAAAAUACCCUGAGGACUGCCUGCCCCUGCUCAGGGCUGCUUGAGUGAUGUUUACACAACAUAAAAGUAAACAUUUUAUUUUUUUUAAGAUUUUAUUUAUUUACUCAGAGACACAGGCAGAGGGAGAGGCAGGCUCCCUGCGGGGACCCGGACACGGGACUCAAUCCCGGGACCCGAGGAUCACACCCUGGGCCGAAGGCAGACGCUCAACCGCCGAGCCACCACCCGGGCGUCUCAGGAAGGAUGUUUCAAAGAGGCGGAAGGCCCCAGGACGGAAGAUGUAUUACUGCAAAUCUCUUCCCGGGAAAUUGCUCGCAUACAGAGCGCUGUGCCACACUCGGAUCCCCAGUCUACAACAAAGGCAGCAGGUGACCAAAGGGCGUCCAGGUCCUCUUUCUCUGUAGCAGGUGCACCGGGAG
rnacentral:lncRNA from 12 species